GCUGUGGGUGUCAUCAAAGCUGUG
rnacentral:piRNA from 2 species